rnacentral:rRNA from 1 species
CAGCAGCCGCGGUAAUACGGAGGGAGCUAGCGUUAUUCGGAAUUACCGGGCGUAAAGCGCACGUAGGCGGCUUUGUAAGUUAGAGGUGAAAGCCUGGAGCUCAACUCCAGAAUUGCCUUUAAGACUGCAUCGCUUGAAUCCAGGAGAGGUGAGUGGAAUUCCGAGUGUAGAGGUGAAAUUCGUAGAUAUUCGGAAGAACACCAGUGGCGAAGGCGGUUCACUGGACUGGUAUUGACGCUGAGGUGCGAAGGCGUGGGGAGCAAACAGGAUUAGAUACCCCUGUAGUCCCUGUCUCUUAUAA